rnacentral:snRNA from 1 species
GGAUGUGAGGGCGAUCUGGCUGUGACAUCUGUCACCCCAUUGAUUGCCAGGUUGAUUCGGCUGAUCUGGCUGGCUAGGCAGGUGUCCCCUUCCUCCCUCACUGCUCCAUGUGUGUCCCUCCUGAAGCUGCGCGCUCAGUCAAGAGGACAACCUUCCCCACUAGAAGAGGACCGUUCUUCGGUCAAAGGUAUAUGAGUAGCUUUGCUCCCCUGCUAGAACCUCCAAACAAGCUCUCAAGAGAGUGGGGUGAGGAGAGGUGAAGGUAAGAGGCUCUUUUUUGCAAAUGACAGUCACACCCAGAGCCAUGCCUGGAAGAGGGCUACUG